ACUUGUGUGGGCGUAGCUGUCCAGAGUAGCUUAAUAAGACUGUUUCCCUUUCAUCGACUCGUGGUCCUCAUGGAUGCAAUACAGUACUCUGCUGCUGUCGCCUCCUCUCAAGUGUUGCUUCCGGUCACCAGGCAUUGUGCUCUUUUGUUUACCUGCUGUCUCCUCCUGUCGCCCUCUGGCAGACGAAGAUUUUGAAUUGGAGAAACUCGUUCGGUCUGGUCGGCUUUGUUGCAACGUUACGCUUAGCUGUAUCCUUAUUUAGUCGAGGAAAGAGGCCACAUAGAGAAUGUGCCUCACUUGUCUUACCGUAUUUCAGUGACCUUUAAACAUUUGGAGAAGAGAACCCAAGCUUUCUCCUAUUAGAGUGCGUUUCAUAUCUUUUCUCAUACUUGAACACAAUGCUCCUUUUAGGUCUGCCCUGGCUUGUCUUCUUGUUUCUUAUGAAGUCGUGGAGAAACGAAGACCCCUCUUGCGAUACAAAUUGGCAUUUUAACCGUCUUAAGUAGGAGCCUAGAAGUUUGGUUUCUCUCUCUUUCCUGUGGGGAAAUGAACUUAACCCUAGAUAGGAAAUCCCGUGCCAAAUGGCACAGCUCCCCCUGUACUUUUGUAUUUCCCGCCAAAUUUUUCCCACAAUUCAUACUUCCUUGGCUCAGUUGGUGCUUUGGCGGACAUUUCAACACAAGUUCUUCAUACUGUAAGGUCUGUAACGUGCUGCUCCUCUUCAUCCACUCUUGUGAGAUAAAAUGCCCAUGAAACGUAAGAGAACACUGUCCAGGUUCGACCUAGAUGCCUUGGUGAAUACCUCAGCUUUUGAUAGGGUAUUGUACACUACCCACGAUGAUGGAAUGGACAGUGACAUUUCUCAUUAUGGGAUUACUGAGUCUCCCCAUCCCUCCCCUAGGGCUGGCCCGUCCACCUGUGCCUUGCCCUCACAAUCACAGACUGUAAUUGAGUGUGAGAUUGGUACUUCAGGUUCCAUGCAAGCAGUGAUAACACCUCACAAAGACCCUCUACAGACUGACAGUGAUGAAAUUGACACCAUUAUUGAGUGUAAUAAUGAUCAUUUGCAACAAAUGUGAAGAUGAUGAUGAGGACAUCUAGUAGCAGGACCAAUGUUUUCUGUGGUUCCCAGGAUGAACAAGAUGCCUAGGGGAUUCUUUAUAGUUCCUAGUUCAUAUAUUCGAAAAUCUUUUUUGCUGAAUGACGUGUCUUUUUAUCAUUACAGUACCUCAAUUGAUAAGAUCUUUUUUAUAUCAAAGUUUUUUUCUAAUAAAUCAAAAAUAUAUUCUGUUAAGUUUAAUUGUCAUAAUUGAAGGUGAUAUUUGU